rnacentral:rRNA from 1 species
GUGUCAGCCGCCGCGGUAAGACGGAGGGGGCAAGCGUUGUCCGGAAUCACUGGGCGUAAAGCGCACGUAGGUGGUCCGCUGCGUCGGUGCUGAAACCUCUCGGCUUAACCGAGAGACGCGUGCCGAUACGAGCAGACUCGAGGCAGUGAGAGGGUAGCGGAAUUCCGGGUGUAGUGGUGAAAUGCGUAGAGAUCCGGAGGAACGCCUGAGGCGAAAGCGGCUACCUGGCACUGACCUGACACUGAGGUGCGAAAGCGUGGGGAGCGAACCGGAUUAGAUACCCGGGUAGUCC